AGUCUUGGAACUAGGAUUGGGGUGGGGUUCAUCCCACCCAGACCACAGAGACUGAAAAUAAGAAAGGGGUGAGGCCUAAGGGACAAUCAGGAUGUUUUUCAGAGAGAAGUGUGGAUGCUGGACAGGAAGAACCACAGAUACCAGAUACGGGUACUGUUGUAACUCUGUUCUCCAUGAAAAAAAAGGAAGAAUCAACACUUUCAGAGAUGGAGCCUGUUGAGCCACAGUACCAACUAGUCAAUGCUGAAUCGACUUCUCCCUUUCUACAUUGCCUGAGAGAAGUCAUUGGGGAAUACUCUGUACACGAAUUUUCACUGUUGGGGAAAACAGGUAUUGGAAGUGAUGGGUAGACCUCAGUUUGUAUGCAUUGUGUUAAUUACUAUUUCUUUGCUUUUCCUUUUUUUGUGCGGUUGCAGAGAGUCAAGGGAUUGGAUUGUGGAUUGCAUUGGUGGUUUUCCUCAGUUUCCUCAUCUUCUCCACAAGUUUCUACAUAUCGAAUGCAGAGCAGCCCUUCUUCAAAGGACCUCCUACGGAAGCUGCUAAGGAACUCAGUCUGUAGCUCUGCGUGGAGCCAUGUGUAAACACUGAACUGAGACCUGCCACCUCCUACUACCUAAGGGCCCAUUUUCAUCUGAUAUCAUCCCCCAGAAACAAACUCAUGAUGACUUCCAUGUUUUUUUUAGAUUAGAUACAUGGAGAAUUUUCCUUUCCCUUAGAAUUAAAAUCCUGCAUUCUAAUUUUCAGUAA
rnacentral:lncRNA from 1 species